CCCACUUCUCUUCCCCCUUGGCUGCCGCCCCCCUGCCCAUCUCCUCCUCUCUCAAUUCUUGCAGCCACCAAACCCUAGCCCCCCCUCUCAAUCCCCUCCUCCCAAGGUGUCAAUCCUUGCCGCUCGGAUCAUCGUCGUCGUGGUGCGAGUCUUCAAUCGUUUUGGUGGAGGGAAGAAGGGAGGAAGGAAAGGGGGAGAAUCCAAGGUGAUUUUUGUGUUCAUCCCUUGUUCAUUUGCGCUGCAAUUUAAUUGAUUAGAGGUUGCGUUUGCGAUUGGGGUAGAGGGGGGCUGUCCAGAAUUUUAGGUGGUGGGUGAACAGCAGUAGUCUAGCAGUUUAUGUGUUUUUUUCGUGAGGAAUUAAGGGAAAUCAGUUUGGGGAUCAUGUAGAACUUUACCUUACCUUUCCAACGAGUAUUUAUGCGCUCAAUUUGGAGUUAUAAAUUGAAAGUUAUCACCGUUUGAAUCCGGGUAUGUGGCUGUCCAAAAAACAGAUUUUUCAGGGGGAUGAACAGCAGCAGUAUUAGCAGUUUCUGGGGAUUUUUUGGGAGUAAUUAGUGUUAAUCAGUAUGAGAAUCAUGUAGGGCUUUAUGUUAUCUUUCCAACAAGUACCUAUGCGCUCGAUUCGGAGUUAUAAUUCAGGAGAUAUCAUUGUUUGAAUCCGGUUAUGUUGCUGUCCAAAAAAAACAGAUUUUUCAGGUGGGUGAACAGCAGUGGUAUUAGCAGUUUCUGGGAAUUUUUCGUGGGUAAUUAGUGUUAACCAGUAUGGUAAUCAUGUAGGGAUUUGUCUUAUCUUUCCAAUGAGUACUUAUGCGCUUGAUUUGGAAUUAUAUUUUAAAAGAUAUCGCUGUUUGAAUCUGGGUAUGUCGCUGUCCAAAAGACAAAGAAAAACAGAUUACAGGGUUCAUCUUGUGGACUGUUUUGGGCUAAUUAGAUAUUGAAAUUUUAUUAUAAAUUGUAUACAAAACUUGUGGGUAAUUUUAUGUAGAUGCCUCUGGAGUCUUUGUUUGUUACCACUGCUGUCAUAAUUUUAAAGUUAUGAAAUUAUUAAGCAGCGCCGCUGCAGUUUGGUGGGUGUAGGGAGAGAUGUAACCCGCGGCGGGGUUUGAGUUUGUGCGUAGGUGCGACGUCGCUUAUGAGCCUGAUUAUGUGAAAUUGGUGUACUAAGUUGGGUGUCAAAAACAGGUGGUGGGCUUCCGGAUCGUACUUGGGAUUUGCCCGAACUUCCGGUAAAGGCAAGUAAAUACAGUGGUGGUUGCUACCAUUUGGUUUGUAUCCUAUUCCCUGUCAUUGAGUAUGCAUAAGUUUUAAUUAUGUUAAUCAUUAAAUUCUAUGAUGAAGUUUAUUUGUUUGGAAGUAUUAAUUCUCAAUUGUCUAAUAUUGUGGAUGAUCAUAAUUUGGUAAUGAUAUAUGUGGUCGAUUCCCAUCUGGAUGAAGUUGAAGUGUCUUUUUGAAUCAUGUUAUAUGAAGUGUUGUAGGCAUGACAUGCACAUCGCAUCAUCCAUCUUGCAUUUUGAAGUUAUGUCGUGAUCUUAUGGUCCGACCGUACCGGUACAUUUUUAGCAUCGUACGUUGCCCGAGGAGGGGUACGAUGCGGCUUCAUAUCCUUAGAGGUAUGAAGGCAGAAGUCAUCCUUGCAUUUGCAGACAUUUGCACUCAUGAGGAAUAUAUGAAGUGUAACAUUACUAUGUUACUAUUGUGGUUUCUACCUGCGAGGUGUGGUAACUAGGUGCGUUGUACGUUGUAUACGUGCUGCACCUUCGUAAUAAGAAGGUUGUGGAAUUAAGUGGUGGUAAAACAAUGUUCUUAUGUGGUUAAACUGUUUGAUAUUAUUUUACUUGCUGAGAUGUGUCAUCUCACUCUUGCAUUACUCAAUGCAGGUCCUUGAUACAUGUUGGGAAUGAGGGGAGUAGCAGCACGUCCACUUUCACUCUCACAAUAACGCUGCCCAGGCGCAGCCAUGAUUUAAUUAGAAACUUAUUGUCAGAGGAAGUUUGUUUAUUUUUUUUAUAUGGUCGUGCGCACUGGUUAAUUCAGUUCAGGUCGUAUGUUUAUCUUUCCUUGCUAGCCGAGUAAUAAUACUUCGUAUGUUUUAGUCAUGAUUUAUGUUUAUACUCUGUUGCUCCCUCUUUUAUGCAAUCUUGCAAAGGGGAUGCUGCCGAAAUUUUAUAUAUGGACGUCGGAAGUGUAGUACAGUAGCAUACCGGGUUGUUUGUGGAACCUGGAGUGUUACAGUUGGUUUCAGAGGAUAGGCUUUAGAUUCUACGCAAUUUGAAGAUAAAUUUGACACACUUGCACAUAUAGGAAGGGUAUGGGUUCAUAUAUCUUUCAUAUUAGUAUUUUAUUGUAUAGAUGACUAGAAUUUCCUUACUCCAAACCCGUUUAUAGUUUGAUGAGGUAUGUCGUAACGACGUAAUGCUUGAUAUGAAAUGUUACUUCUAUUUAAUAUUGGUUUCUUGAUGUGGUUGAUAUUGAAAUUAUUAUGCGAGUGAAGCUACUAAUGUACUUGUUUUAUAUACAUAUCGUCAUGAUGUUUUUUUGGGAUGCAAUGUUUACUAAUCUCUGAGCUAUUACCAUCAUAUAUUUCUAUAUGCUUGACUGUGGAUGUUUUUUUUCCCAAAAGGAUUCUUGGGUUCUAGUACUUGUAGGACCGAUUGUUUAUUGAGCUUGUGUAUAGAGGUUCUAAUCCGACUUGGUGUAGUGUGAAAACACUAUACAAUGAAGUUUUAUGGUGUUGUUGAGUUGGAUUGACUGUUGGGUUACAACCCAACUUAUCAAUGUAAUAUUUCCAUGGGUGCAGUGCUUUACACCUCACCUUUUUUUGGCUGGUGUGGCUACUUGCCAACUUGAUCUUAGAGUACAAUAGGUUUGUCUCCAUAGAGCAAAGGCAAUGUUGUACUGUCUAUGAAAUCUUGAGACUAGAAGAACUCAAGUGAAUUUGCAAGAUGACGUGGGUAGAUAAGUCCAACCAUGUUUACAUGAUAGGUUUUCUUAUUGUGUGCAACCUUAUCUUUAAUAAUAAAUAGGGUGAUUUCAAGUGGAUUUUAUGUCUAUAUUAUAGUUGAAGAGGCAUGCAUGUUUUCCUUCUAUGGUUUGUUUCUAUAGCCAAAAAGGUUAUGCAUAAUUUCUAUUUGUUGGAGGCUAGUCAUGCGGACGAUAUGGACAACCCGUUUUAUAUUGUUUUUAAUCGCCGAUGAUACAUGGUAGUUUUUUUAUAUGAUCAGUUCUCUAUGCAUGCUUGUGGAAUUAUUAUUUGGACCGCUUUAUCUUAAACAAAGUCAAUGUUUAACUGGAAGUUGCUUAUGUUUGUUAGUCAUCUAUCUCUAUAAUGAUGUGGUUGUUGCAUUAGAUGGAGAUUUUUAUUAUAUGAAUGAUGGUUUGAUAGAUCAUGUAUGUCUACUACUUUGAAUUCAUCCUAUGACAUCACUAGGUACAAAUUGUUCAAGUGCAAUAAUAGGAGGUAUUGUUGUAUGUGAGGUUAAUCAAAGUAGUUGGGUUAGGUGGAUUAUCUUAUUGAAGUCCAAUUACUCUUGUUGAGCAUAGUAUCAUGUUAUUAUUUUAGUGUUGAAAGUAAUAUUUAUGAAGCUUUUGCAUGAGUCCGUGUCAAGAAGUACAUUAGUUUUUUCUUGUUGUUAUCCCUCCAUUGCUUUAUGAGUAUUGCAAAUUUUAUCUCUUUUGAGAGGGGGAAAAGAUGUUAUAUGACAUGAGCACCAUUUGCUUCACGUCAACAGAAUAGUUUUGGAGAUUUCUAGUAGUUGGAUUCUAGUGUAAUAACAACCAUGUUUUAUAGAGCUGGAGACGGGUAUGUCAGGUGUUUCAUACAUUGUCGGUACAUGGAUGUUUGACCUUAGUGACAUUAACAAACGAGGUUGUUGAAUUCAUUGAUUGUUGUGCUUAGUGUUCUAACCUAUUUGGUAGAGUGUUAUUUAAAGACUUUGUGGAGUUGCAUCCCAGUUUGGUAGUGGAAAAUCCUAGUGUUGAUGGCACCUGCCAAUGACUUGGGUUUCAUUUUAUAUUGUUUUUUUAUUGUUGAUAAUGUGUUGUUUGGUUCCGGGAGGCAUUUUAAAUUAGUUGGAGGCUGAAUCAGGCUCACUUAUCUAGAAUGUUUUGUAGUAUGUUUCUGCAUCUUUCCAUAGGAUGCUUAAUCACCAUGUUUGGUCUAAACAUUUGAGAGAUAUGGGUUUCUUAAAACAUCUUUGUUGGUGUCUCUAGCAGAGUGAGUCUUUAAUUUUGUACGGAAGAGUAGACAUUGAAGACGGUAUAAUUUGGUCUUUGUGGAUUAUGAAAGUUUUAGUAAUUUCAUGAUCUUUUCAAAGAGUAUGGGUUUCUAAUUCUCAUUGCAUAUAAUUGGAGUUAGGUUGCUCUGAAGUUGUUGCACUGUUGUGUCUAAACUUUAGGCGUCGUUAUAAUCACCAAUAAAUCGACCGCGUUUUGAUAGUUGCAGAGCACAAAUUUGCGAAUUCUCUUUAAGCAAAACUUGUAGGUAUUUUCAGUACCUUUUUAAUGGGUAUUUACUUGUAACUGUCUGUUAAAUAGAUUUGGAGAGGUGGUUGCCCGGAUAUAAGUCGAAUUUCUAAUGUGCAGUAUCUCAGGCUGAGUUUAGCUGUAGGUCAUGCAGAGUUGUGGGCUAUAAGGAUAAAUUUGGGUGCAACUUUAUUGCAAAAGUCGUGGACAAUUUUCAAAACUUUUCCAACGCGUGUUCGUUGUAGUUUAAGUUGAGUAUAGCAGG
rnacentral:lncRNA from 1 species